GACAGAGGAGCCAAGCGUUGUCCGGAUUGACUGGGCGUAAAGCGCACGCAGGCGGCUUGGCGCGUGGGGUGUGAAAGCUCUUGGCUUAACUAAGAGAGGCCAUCCCAUACGGCUAAGCUCGAGCCAUGCAGAGGUCCGCGGAAUUGCCGGUGUAGUGGUGAAAUGCGUAGAGAUCGGCAGGAACACCCAGGGGGAAACCAGCGGACUGGGCAUGCGCUGACGCUCAGGUGCGACAGCGUGGGGAGCGAACAGG
rnacentral:rRNA from 1 species